AUGGUGAAAGGAGAAGCAAACAUCCUUCUUCACAUCGUGGCAGCAUGGAGAAGUGCAAAAGGGGAAAAGCCCCUUAUAAAACCAUCAGAUCUCAUGAAAACUCACUCACUAUCACGAGAACAGCAUGGAGGUAAAAUAAUUCAACAGAAACUUCAAUAUUUCUUAAGAACAACGUAUGAAGCAACACCAGAGUGCCACCAAUCACAGAAGGCCCCUUCCUCAGACUCAAUUCUGUCAAAACCAAGCUCUCCAAAGAAGACUUCCUCUGGCCAGCAAUGAGGAUAGACAUAGUCUUCAGCAAAUCUGCUACCAAGAAGGCAGCAAUUUACUCCUCAAGAAAAGAAGUUUAUACAAGGGUAUGAACUACAAGAAGGAAGGGAUGAUGGAGGAUACCUGUCUGUCACAACUGUGUCACAUUUUACAAUAAAGAUGCCUUUGAAUAUGAAAGCCUCGGAUCU
rnacentral:lncRNA from 13 species